rnacentral:rRNA from 1 species
AUUGAACGCUGGCGGCAUGCCUUACACAUGCAAGUCGAACGGUAACGCGGGGCAACCUGGCGACGAGUGGCGAACGGGUGAGUAAUGUAUCGGAACGUGCCCAAUAGUGGGGGAUAGCCCGGCGAAAGCCGGAUUAAUACCGCAUGAGACCUGAGGGUGAAAGCGGGGGACUCGCAAGAGCCUCGCGCUAUUGGAGCGCCCGAUAUCAGAUUAGGUAGUUGGUGGGGUAAAGGCCUACCAAGCCGACGAUCUGUAGCUGGUCUGAGAGGACGACCAGGCACACUGGGAGCGAGACACGGCCCAGACUCCUACGGGAGGCAACAGUGGGGAAUUUUGGACAAUGGGCGCAAGCCUGAUCCAGCCAUGGCGCGUGCGGGAAGAAGGCCUUCGGGUUGUAAACCGCUUUUGUCAGGGAAGAAAUCUUCUGGGUUAAUACCUCGGGAGGAUGACGGUACCUGAAGAAUAAGCACCGGCUAACUACGUGCCAGCAGCCGCAGUAAGAC